CCUACGGGAGGCAGCAGUGGGGAAUAUUGGACAAUGGGCGAAAGCCUGAUCCAGCCAUGCCGUGUGUGUGAAGAAGGCCUUCGGGUUGUAAAGCACUUUCAGUGGGGAAGAAAGCCUUGGGGCUAAUACCCUCGAGGAAGGACAUCACCCACAGAAGAAGCACCGGCUAACUCCGUGCCAGCAGCCGCGGUAAUACGGAGGGUGCGAGCGUUAAUCGGAAUUACUGGGCGUAAAGCGCGCGUAGGCGGUCUGAUAAGCCGGUUGUGAAAGCCCCGGGCUCAACCUGGGAACGGCAUCCGGAACUGUCAGGCUAGAGUGCAGGAGAGGAAGGUAGAAUUCCCGGUGUAGCGGUGAAAUGCGUAGAGAUCGGGAGGAAUACCAGUGGCGAAGGCGGCCUUCUGGACUGACACUGACGCUGAGGUGCGAAAGCGUGGGUAGCAAACAGGAUUAGAUACCCUGGUAGUC
rnacentral:rRNA from 1 species